GCUACUUCAAUCCACAAGAACUAUUGUUUUUUUUUAUCUCUGAUUCAAAUUUUGUUGUUUUAUAGACAAUCAAUAAUGGUUUACAGCACUAAAGCACCAAAAAGGCCAAAAAAUGGCAAGGAAAUCGAAUAUAAAAAGCAAAGAAAUUUGAUUCACGGGUCCUGCUGCAAAUAACGUGCUCCAUUUCAAACAACGGCCAUUAUGUCAUUUUGCCCCCUUUCUUGCCAAAAAAAUGCCGUUUUAACAAAAACUAGUCUGGUUACAUCUAAACUAAUGGUUAGAAAAAAAUACGGCUGGUUCGACCCCUAACUGGCUAGGUUUGGUCAGGACAUUUUAUGGGGUGAUACCCUAGGUCCUUAGAACCCUAAAACCGCCCCUAAAUGGACUCAGGACGCUAGCGGCUGCGGUCUAACCAGCCAGUUCCGAUUUUAACUGGCCAGUAUUUCUAAAAGCGAUCCAUAUGUCAUUUGAUCCAUUCAAUAGGAUCAACUUUCAGGUUGUUUGUGUCAUGCCUAUUUUUAGAUAGAUUCAACUGAUUUAGUGCACUAAUUCAAAUCACUUGAGAUUUUGCUUGUUGAGUAUCCAAGCCAUAGUGCCUUGUGGAGUUUUCCAAAGAAAUAUUUCUGCGAGCUUCAAUGCGCAAUCCCAUUUCUAACCCUACAUCAUGUUUGCCAAGCAGCAAGUCACCAAAAAUCUACUAUUCGAUGCAGCUUUCAGAAGUUGGGUUUCUUUCCUUUCUAAAGAUCCGGAUCCAUGGGUUUAAAUGAAAGUCAAAAUCCCAUCUCCAGCAGUUGUGGCAUACAUUUUCCAUCUCAGUAAAAGAUAUUGGGAGAUUUCUAAUGUAAGGGUCUUCCAGUCAUUUACCACCAAACUCACUUUCAAGCAAGCACUCCUGGUUCCACCCUAUACUCUUAAUGCAUACAGACUAACCAUAGCCUCAGAGUUGGAUUGACUCAGCAAACCUGUCCACUGAUGUUAAGCUUACUCCACAAGCUGAGAAGCCUCAUAACACACCCAAGACUCCAGCUCUAGUUUGUGGUUCUGCAUCUUCUGAUUGCCCCUACAAUUGCCCAUAUGAAGGAUGUGAUAAGUCCUACAUUCACAAGUACAAGCUCAAUCUCCAUCUCAAGAGAAAGCACCCUGGCCAUAAUUCAGAAGAGAAUGGAAAGCAUAAUGUCAAUGCUGAAAAUGAAGUAGAUGAAGGGAGUGACCCUGAUGCAUAUAAUGCAUUGAAGAGCGGUAAUGGAAACAGUACAAAAUGAAGUAAAGUGAAGUUGGCUUCGAAAACCCCACCUGCUAAAACUACACAGAGGAAAGGUAUGGGCACAGUCAUUCUUAACAGAAAUCCAGUAGCAAAGCCCCAUACCAGCAAAGGCUUUGUUGAUGAAGAACAUAGUGAGGUGAAAGAAGAGGAUUGUGACAAUGGUGAAGAGGAGGGGUGGCACUACAGAGAAGCGAAUGAGGAUGACAAGGAAACAGAAGAUGAGGAAUAGAGGGGUCUCAACUCUUUGGAUAUCUUGGCACGCUGUUAAGUAGUUUCUUGUGCCAAAACUGCAAAAAAAAUUGACAGUAAGGAAUCUGUAGAUAGCUGUCAAGUGUUAGCUUCUUUUCGUUCUCAAAAUGAGUUUUUAAUAAUGUAGAGCAACUUGGUUUGUUUGAUAUGUUGGAAGAACUAUUUUUCUUGAGCAAUAUUUUUCAAUGUUAUUAUGCCAUACUUGCAGUGGAUGCAUGGUAAUAUGUUUACAUAGUCUGAGGUAUUCACUGAAUGAUGGGUGGUGGCGUUCACCUAGGCAUGGAUGGUGUG